rnacentral:rRNA from 1 species
GACGAACCGUCCAAACGUUGUUCGGAAUCACUGGGCUUAAAGGGCGCGUAGGCGGGUGACCAAGUCCGGGGUGAAAUCUUUCGGCUCAACCGGAAAACUGCCUUGGAUACUGGUCAUCUCGAGGGAGGUAGGGGUCUGUGGAACUGAUGGUGGAGCGGUGAAAUGCGUUGAUAUCAUCAGGAACGCCGGUGGCGAAAGCGACGGACUGGACCUUCACUGACGCUGAGGCGCGAAAGCGUGGGGAGCAAACGGG